rnacentral:rRNA from 1 species
AGCGAACGCUGGCGGCGUGCUUAACACAUGCAAGUCGAACGUGAACGGAGCAAUCCUAGUAAAGUGGCGUACGGGUGAGUAACACGUAGAUAAUCUACCCUAGAGUUCGGAAUAACCUGCCGAAAGGCGGGCUAAUACUGGAUAGAGCGACGGAAGCCGUAAAUGGUUUUUUCGGGAAAGGGAGCUUGAUAAGAGCCCUC